rnacentral:rRNA from 1 species
GAUGAACGCUGGCGGCGUGCCUAAUACAUGCAAGUCGAGCGAACAGACGAGGAGCUUGCUCCUCUGACGUUAGCGGCGGACGGGUGAGUAACACGUGGAUAACCUACCUAUAAUACUGGGAUAACUUCGGGAAACCGGAGCUAAUACCGGAUAAUAUAUUGAACCGCAUGGUUCAAUAGUGAAAGACGGUUUUGCUGUCACUUAUAGAUGGAUCCGCGCUGCUUUAGCUAGUUGGUAAGGUAACGGCUUACCAAGGCAACGAUGCGUAGCCGACGUGCGAGAGGGGUAGGCGGCACGGGAGCGGAGACGCGGUCAAGAGGACUACGGGAGGGAGCAGAAGGGAAUGGGAGGCAACGGUGGGAAGCCUGACGGAGCAACGCGACGUGAGUGAUGAAGGUCUUCGGAUCGGAAAGAUCGGUUAUUAGGGAAGAACAAAUGUGUAAGUAACUAUGGACGUCUUGACGGUACUGAAUCAGAAAGCCACGGCUAACUACGUG